UACGUGGGGGGCAAGCGUUGUCCGGAAUCAUUGGGCGUAAAGCGCGCGUAGGCGGCCCGGUAAGUCCGCUCUGAAAGUUCCAGGGCUCAACCCUGGAAAGCGGGUGGAUACUGCCGGGCUAGAAUCCGGAAGAGGCGAGUGGAAUUCCUGGUGUAGCGGUGGAAUGCGCAGAUAUCAGGAGGAACACCAAUAGCGAAGGCAGCGUCGCUGGGACGGUAUUGACGCUAAGGCGCGAAAGCGUGGGGAGCAA
rnacentral:rRNA from 1 species